CUAAAUGUUGUUUCUAGCCAAAUAUAAGAUUGGCAGCAUCUGGGACUAUGGCAAAAAAGUGUAUUAUUCAUAAAAUCCUGCAUGUUAUAUGUGGAAUGUGCAUCUACUAUUAUUCUUCUGGAUACUUUGCUCCAUCCUUUGUGGCUGAUACCUCCAUCCAAAUCUGAUGUUAAAUCCUGCAUAAUAUGUAUCUAAUCUCAUUCUUUAGCCUACCUUGCUCAAUCAGCUUGCAUUGUCAUCCUAAUUUGUGAGCAACAUCAACCAACUACUGCUCCUUGGUUGAUGAGUGCUAGAUUUGCUGGUAUGCAAAGCUCCAUGCGCUAAUGCAUAUUAAAAAGGAAAAAAGAAAGAAAGAAGGGAAGGGAAAAAAAAAAGAAUGAAACAAAGAAAAAAAAACUCCAUGGUCUAAAUAAUAAAUAAUCAAAUUGAAUUUUUUGGCUUUUGGAAGAUGAGAUGACAAUUUUUUUUCAUUGUUUCUUGAAAAUAUUUGCUGUUUGUGUGGUGCUUAUUUUGAUUCAAAUGAUAUACUUUUAGAAUUUGGUUAUGUACUAUGCUUGAUUUAUUCGGUGAAUGUAUUUUUUGAUAGGUAACUUAAAUUAAAUUGUCUAAAGCAGAUGCAACCUAAGUAUGGGGUGGGUUAUUUAUUUAUUUAUUUUUUGAUAGGUGGGUGCAGGGUGGGUUAUAUACAUGGAUAAUUCAAAAGAGAAAAAAAAAGGAAAAAUGAAAACACACGCAGAGAGAAACAAAUAAAAUAAAAUGAAAAGUGAAGGAUGCCCUCCUUCUUAAAGACAACCCAAAGCACCAAUCAUCUUUAUGAAAGAAUGAUCUCCUGUUCCCAAUUGAUCUGCCUGAUCA
rnacentral:lncRNA from 1 species